AACCCAAAUCAUAAGGAAGUGCAGGGGCUGGGGUUCUGAGGAAAAUGCCAUGAUUAGUCUCCUCUGGGCCUUUUCAGGUUGCUGUAAUGGUUUUGGACCUCAAAUACCAGCGACUGUCUUUCCUGAAGCAGCACAAUUACAGGUCAUUAGGGAGGCUCGGGCUGUGACCAUCCCUGGGCACAAGACCUGCAACCAAAUGCAAAGCGAUGGUGACAGAGCUGAACAUGAUGUGAAAGUGAAGGCAGAGGUUGGAGUAAGGUUUCCACAAGCCAGGGAGCACCAGGGCCCACCAGGAGCUGGACAAGGCAAGGAAGGAUUCUCCCCAAGAGCCUUUGGAGAGACGGUGGCCGUGCUGACACCUUGACUUUGAUCUUCAGGCCUUCAAAGCCACAAGAGAAUAAAUAUUGUGGUUCUGAGCCACAGAGCUACAGGCAGCACCAACGCGCGUGGAACUAACGUGAGAGAUGAAACCUCUGUUCCUGUUCACCAGACACAGCCUCCUCCAGCAGAUCUAUACCUUUUUUUGCUUGCUUUCAUCUCUGUUGUUUCUAAACUUCUUCUCUAAGAGAAGAGAAGAACAACAUUUAAGAGAGAGGGCACCCCAUUGCUCUUAAAUUUUUGUCAUUGUUCUUCCUGUCCAGGCCUUGUGGACCUUGACUCUCCUUCCUUCCUGCCUUCAUCUUUGCCCACUCCUCCAGCUCCAGGCAGGACCAUCUUAGGAUCCUCUGUUGCAGCCAUAAGACCUCAAAAACCCACUCCCACCCAGACGAACCCAGUCCAGCCAAGGAUUUGGGUCUCCUCCUUCUGGGAUGGAAACCAGAUCAACAAGGUAGUCAUGUGAGAAGAUGGCCUUGACCCAGCUUUGUUCAGGAGACUGACUACCCAGCCUUGUGAGGAAGUUCCAGGGCUCCCAGGAUGCCAACCACUCUGAUGGAGAGUGGUGGUCCUUCAGUUGAGCACAGGCACACCCACACAGCCUCCUGAUUGCCUGAUCCUUAUCUAACCUAGCCAGGAGAAGGAGGUGGGCAUCAUAUCAGACUCUGUGGCCCUUUGACAGCUGCUGAGAAUCUUAUUUUUCUAAACAUCUACACAGUAGACUGUCUCUACAUCUCAGUCUACUCACCUGACCAAUGGGGCUGCACCACCCCUGACCUCUGCUGUCUGGAAGCCUGAGAGGGCCAGUGACGGGACAAAUGACUAGAAAGGACACAGUAAAACCAAGGGACUGGGCUUCCCUGGUGGCUCAGUGGUAAAGAAUCUGCCUGCCAAUGCAGGAGACACAGGUUCGAUCCCUGAU